rnacentral:rRNA from 1 species
CCAGACUCCUACGGGAGGCAGCAGUGAGGAAUAUUGGUCAAUGGUCGGGAGACUGAACCAGCCAAGCCGCGUGAGGGAUGAAGGUACAGAGUAUCGUAAACCUCUUUUGUCAGGGAACAAAGGCGGGGACGUGUCCCCGGAUGAGUGUACCUGAAGAAAAAGCAUCGGCUAACUCCGUGCCAGCAGCCGCGGUAAUACGGAGGAUGCGAGCGUUAUCCGGAUUUAUUGGGUUUAAAGGGUGCGUAGGCGGGAUGCCAAGUCAGCGGUAAAAAUGCGGUGCUCAACGCCGUCGAGCCGUUGAAACUGGCGUUCUUGAGUGGGCGAGAAGUAUGCGGAAUGCGUGGUGUAGCGGUGAAAUGCAUAGAUAUCACGCAGAACUCCGAUCGCGAAGGCAAGUGUCCGGGGUGCAACUGACGCUGAGGCUCGAAAGUGCGGGUAUCAAACAGGAUUAGAUACCCGCGUA